rnacentral:ncRNA from 1 species
UUAAAUCAGUUCUUACUUAAUAUACACAUGCAAGUCUCCGCACCCCUGUGAAAAUGCCCUUAAACUCCUAGUAGGAAUAAGGAGCCGAUAUCAGGCUCAAAUUUUAGCCCAAGACAUCUAGCUACGCCACACCCACAAGGGAACUCAGCAGUGAUUAACAUUGAGCAUGAGCGACAGCUUGACUCAGUUAAAGUAAAAAGAGCCGGCAAACCUGGUGCCAGCCGCCGCGGUUACACCUGUGGGCUCAAAUUGAUAUUAUUCGGCGUAAAGCGUGGUUAAAAUCUCUAAGACAAUUAUAGUUGUACUAAAACUAAGCCGUGAAAAGCUUGUUUUUAGGAAAAUCAAAAACGAAAGUUACUAUAUUUACAUCAACUUGACCCCACGACAGCUAGGACACAAACUGGGAUUAGAUACCCCACUAUGCCUAGCCGUAAACCUUUAACUACAUCCGCAUCGCCUGGGAACUACGAGCAAAGCUUAAAACCCAAAGGACUUGACGGUACCCCACAUCCACCUAGAGGAGCCUGUCCUAUAAUCGAUAAUCCCCGCUUAACCUCACCAUUUUUAGCCUAUCAACCUGUAUACCUCCGUCGUCAGCUUACCUCGUGAGCGAACUUUAGUGAGCUUAAUGUCUUCGACAAAAACACGUCAAUACGUCAGGUCAAGGUGCAGUUAAUAAAAUGGAAUUAGAUGGGCUACACUCUCUAACAUAGAGCACACGAAAGACUAUUUAUGAAACCUAGUCAGAAGGCGGAUUUAGUAGUAAAAAGAAAUCAGAGAGUUCUUUUUAACACGGCACUGGGGUGUGUACACACCGCCCGUCACCCUCUUCAAAUCCAAAAAUAGUAUUUAACACAAUAUAGAAAACCAGAAGAGGCAAGUCGUAACAUGGUAAGUAUACCGGAAGGUGUGCUUGGAAACAAAAUGUAGCUUAAAUAAAGCAUCUUGCUUACACCAAGAAAAUACCUGUGAAACCCAGGUCAUUUUGAGCCAAAAACUUAGCCCCCCCCCCCCGCAUGAACCACUAAAACUAACCCUAAAAACCAAAACAUUUUUUUGAUUUAGUAAAGGAGAUUAAAAAACCUAUAGGAGCUAUAUUUUAAGUACCGUAAGGGAAAAGUGAAAUAGAACUGAAAUAAAUCUUAAGCACUUAAAAGUAGAGACCUAACCUCGUACCUUUUGCAUCAUGGUUUAACUAGUCUAAUCAAGCAAAACGAUUUGUAGUUUGACCUCCCGAAACUAAGCGAGCUACUUCAGGGCAGCUUAUCGAGCAAACCCGUCUCUGUUGCAAAAGAGUGGGAAGACCCUUAAGUAGGGGUGAUAGACCUAACGAGCUUAGUGAUAGCUGGUUACUCAAGAAAAGGAUUUUAGUCCAGCCUAAAGACUCACUAAUAUUCACACAUAACCGAACCACUUUAGAGUAAUUCAAAUAAGGUACAGCCUAUUUGAAACAGGAAACAACCUCAACCAAAGGGUAAUUAUUAUCUUCAACAACCAAGUAGGCCUAAAAGCAGCCAUCUUUAAAAUAGCGUCAAAGCUCAGUUGUUCAUGUCCCCUAAUCCCCCGAAUAAUUCAGAACCCUUCAUCACUAUUGAGUAAUUCUAUACACCUAUAGAAUAUCUUAUGUUAAAACUAGUAACAAGAAGAAGACCUUCUCUUAAAUGUUAGUGUAAGUCAAAAAGGACCAACCAAUGAUAAUUAACAUAAAUGAACAAAAAUUAGCAACCUUACAAGAGAAGCCUACUUUUUAAUAUGUUAACCUAACACAAGAGCAUUUCAAGAAAGAUUAAAAGAAAAAGAAGGAACUCGGCAAACAUUAACCUCGCCUGUUUACCAAAAACAUCGCCUCUUGAGCAAAUAUAAGAGGUCCAGCCUGCCCAGUGACUCUGUUCAACGGCCGCGGUAUCCUAACCGUGCGAAGGUAGCGUAAUCACUUGUUCUUUAAAUGAGGACUAGUAUGAAUGGCACCACGAAGGUUAUACUGUCUCCUUUUUCUAAUCAGUGAAACUAAUCUCCCCGUGAAGAAGCGGGGAUUAAACCAUAAGACGAGAAGACCCUAUGGAGCUUUAAACUAACAACAAUUGCUUUUUUUACACAUUAAAAUUUACAGCCAUCUUAGCUUUGUGAUUUUUAGUUUUAGGUUGGGGUGACCACGGAGCACAAUAAAACCUCCGCAUUGAAUGGAUCUUUAUCCUGAACAAUGAGCUACGACUCUAUGUACCAAUAAAUUGACAUCAAUUGACCCAAUUAUUUGAUCAAUGAACCAAGUUACCCUAGGGAUAACAGCGCAAUCCGCCUCAAGAGCCCCUAUCGACAGGCGGGUUUACGACCUCGAUGUUGGAUCAGGGUAUCCCAGUGGUGCAGCCGCUACUAAAGGUUCGUUGUUCAACGUCAAAA